rnacentral:rRNA from 1 species
GAUGAACGCUAGCGGCAGGCCUAAUACAUGCAAGUCGAGGGGUAGAGGCUGCUUGCAACCUUGAGACCGGCGCACGGGUGCGUAACGCGUAUGCAACCUACCUUUAUCUGGGGGAUAGCCCGAAGAAAUUCGGAUUAAUACCGCAUAAAAUCACAGAACGGCAUCGUUUCAUGAUCAAACAUUUAUGGGAUAAAGAUGGGCAUGCGUGUCAUUAGUUAGUUGGCGGGGUAACGGCCCACCAAGACGACGAUGACUAGGGGAUCUGAGAGGAUGACCCCCCACACUGGUACUGAGACACGGACCAGACUCCUACGGGAGGCAGCAGUAAGGAAUAUUGGUCAAUGGAGGCAACUCUGAACCAGCCAUGCCGCGUGCAGGAUGACGGCCCUCUGGGUUGUAAACUGCUUUUAUUCGGGAAUAAACCUACUUACGUGUAAGUAGCUGAAUGUACCGAAGGAAUAAGGAUCGGCUAACUCCGUGCCAGCCGCCGCAGUAAAAC